AACGCACAUUGCGCCCCUUGGUAUUCCAUGGGGCAUGCCUGUUCGAGCGUCAUUUGUAUCUUCAAGCUUUGCUUGGUGUUGGGUGUUUGUCCUGCUCUAUGCGUGGACUCGCCUUAAAUCAAUUGGCAGCCGGUAAUCUGGUGUUAAGAGCGCAGCACAUUGUGCGCUCCUCGCUGUGUAUUGCGGCGUCCAUUAAGCCUAUAUCUCUUUGCUCUUGACCUCGGAUCAGGUAGGGAUACCCGCUGAACUUAA
rnacentral:misc_RNA from 1 species